rnacentral:misc_RNA from 1 species
GAUGAAGAACGUAGCGAAAUGCGAUAAGUAAUGUGAAUUGCAGAAUUCAGUGAAUCAUCGAAUCUUUGAACGCACAUUGCGCCCGCCAGUACUCUGGCGGGCAUGCCUGUUCGAGCGUCAUUUCAACCCUCGGGCCCCGCAUUCGUGCGGGCCCCGGCGUUGGGGACCGGCCUCCGCAUCGGACGGCCGCCCCCGAAACCCAGUGGCGGUCCCGCCGCGGCCUUCUCUGCGUAGUAGCAUACACCUCGCACUGGAGAGCGGCGCGUCCACGCCGUAAAAGAAACGAACUUUCUGAAGGUUGACCUCGGAUCAGGUAGGAAUACCCGCUGAACUUAAGCAUAUCAAUAAGCGGAGGA